UACGAAGGGGGCUAGCGUUGCUCGGAAUCACUGGGCGUAAAGGGCGCGUAGGCGGACUCUUAAGUCGGGGGUGAAAGCCCAGGGCUCAACCCUGGAAUUGCCUUCGAUACUGAGAGUCUUGAGUUCGGAAGAGGUUGGUGGAGCUGCGAGUGUAGAGGUGAAAUUCGUAGAUAUUCGCAAGAACACCAGUGGCGAAGGCGGCCAACUGGUCCGAUACUGACGCUGAGGCGCGAAAGCGUGGGGAGCAACAGG
rnacentral:rRNA from 1 species